rnacentral:tRNA from 1 species
UGGCUCAGUCGGUUAAGCGUCUGACUUCAGCUCAGGUCAUGAUCUCGUGGUUCGUGGGUUCGAGCCCCAC